CGCGUAGGCGGCUGUAUAAGUCAGAUGUGAAAGCCCGCGGCUCAACCGUGGAAGUGCAUUUGAAACUGUAUGGCUUGAGUACUGGAGGGGGUAGUGGAAUUCCCGGCGUAGAGGUGAAAUUCGUAGAUAUCGGGAGGAAUACCGGUGGCGAAGGCGACUGCCUGGCCAGAUACUGACGCUGAGGUGCGAAAGCGUGGGGAGCAAACA
rnacentral:rRNA from 1 species